rnacentral:tRNA from 1 species
GGGCGCGUAGCUCAAUUGGUAGAGCAUUUUCUUGACGUGAAAAGGGUUCCCCGUUCGAGUCGGGGCGCGCCCA